UACAGAGGGUGCGAGCGUUGUCCGGAAUUAUUGGGCGUAAAGGGCUCGUAGGCGGUUUGUCGCGUCGGGAGUGAAAACCUCGGGCUUAACUCGGGGCUUGCUUUCGAUACGGGCAGACUGGAGGUAUGCAGGGGAGAACGGAAUUCCUGGUGUAGCGGUGAAAUGCGCAGAUAUCAGGAGGAACACCGGUGGCGAAGGCGGUUCUCUGGGCAUGACCUGACGCUGAGGAGCGAAAGUGUGGGGAGCGAACAGG
rnacentral:rRNA from 1 species